rnacentral:rRNA from 1 species
CCUACGGGAGGCUGCAGUGGGGAAUAUUGGACAAUGGGGGGAACCCUGAUCCAGCCAUGCCGCGUGUGUGAAGAAGGCCCUCGGGUUGUAAAGCACUUUCAGUGAGGAAGAACGCCUGGUGGUUAAUACCCAUCAGGAAAGACAUCACUCACAGAAGAAGCACCGGCUAACUCCGUGCCAGCAGCCGCGGUAAUACGGAGGGUGCGAGCGUUAAUCGGAAUUACUGGGCGUAAAGCGCGCGUAGGUGGCUUGAUAAGCCGGUUGUGAAAGCCCCGGGCUCAACCUGGGAACGGCAUCCGGAACUGUCAAGCUAGAGUGCAGGAGAGGAAGGUAGAAUUCCCGGUGUAGCGGUGAAAUGCGUAGAGAUCGGGAGGAAUACCAGAGGCGAAGGCGGCCUUCUGGACUGACACUGACACUGAGGUGCGAAAGCGUGGGUAGCAAACAGGAUUAGAUACCCCGGUAGUC